rnacentral:misc_RNA from 1 species
GGAGACCACUGAUCCCCCAAUCUGCUUAAAUUCAGAUCUUGAGACAAAUGAGUGUCUUGAAAGGAAUGGAGGCUGUUGGCAGGACAAACAUUCUAACAUAACUGCUUGCAAGGACACAUUUAGGGGAAGAAUUUGCGAGUGCCCAGUUGUGAAUGGUGUACAGUACAGAGGAGAUGGCUAUGCAUCUUGUGAAGCUUUUGGACCUGCAAGAUGUACUAUAGGUAAUGGAGGAUGCUGGUCAGAAGAAAGAAAUGGGUUAACUUUCUCAGCUUGCUCAGAGUCCCAGUUAUCAGGCUGUCAGUGCCCAGAAGGUUUUCAUGGGGAUGGUCAUGACAAGUGUGAAGACACCAAUGAAUGCAAGGAACGUACUGCUUGUCAAUGUGGUGGUUGCUCCUGUAAGAAUACUUGGGGCGGAUAUGAGUGCAAGUGUAAGGGAGACCUCCUUUAUAUAAAGGAACAAGAUGCUUGCAUUGAAAGAAACGGAUCUAAAUUUGGAUGGUUCCUCACAUUUGUGGUCGUAGCAGUUGUAGCAGGAGCUGGUCUUGCUGGUUAUAUAUUCUACAAAUACAGGCUUCGGUCUUACAUGGACUCGGAGAUCAUGGCUAUUAUGUCACAGUACAUGCCACUUGACAAGCAACAUAACAAUGAAGUUGCAACUGAAGCCCAACUGCUUCGCCAGAGCACAUCUGUGUAAGAUCCAAUGGCAACUCUUACAUGAAGCAGAGAGAGGUCCAAUUCUUGAUCUACAUUACAUUCAGGACCUUGCGAAUUAUUGAUAUAGAAAAAUAGUUGAAGGAAAUUUUCUUUUCUCUGCAUUAUAGUUGAGGUAUAAAUUUAGCGUCAAGGAUUAAUUAGGGACGCAGAUGGAUAACCAAUACAGUUAAGAAAGGUGAAAGAAUAAAAAAAAGAAGGAUGC